GUCCAAUCUGUGCACCUAGUUACCUCUAGGACUUGGUGGCCAACUCUUCUACCAGAGGCCACAGGACUGGUACUAUGCCUAUGUGCACAGGUGUUCCUGGGCUCUUCGUAGGACAAGGCCCCCUCAGUGGCACUAUGCCCACAGCUGGUAUUAAGGGGACAAGUUGAAAAGCCAUGAAGACGCAGCUCAUCACAUACCAGAAACCUAAAUGAGAGCCACAGUUUUUCAUCAGAGGUCGCCAGACCCAAAGACACACAAUCACAGGUUACAAGCCUGAAAGAAAAUAGACUGUCAACCGGAGUAUGUGACAAAACCGUCCAUUACAAAAGAAGAUGAAAUAAAGACAUUUCCAGAUAAACACUGAGGGAGUUCAUUAUUAGUGGGCCUUGUUAAGACAGAAUGCGCAAAGAAAUCUCCAGAGACAAACUCUCGUGUUCCGAAAGCAAAGCUUAUUGACAGGAAAAGCCUGCCAGGCUGCCCAGUUGAGUGGCACAGCAGACAGAGUUAUCUUAAUAGGGUUUUUAAUGUCCUUCAACAAGGAAUAAGUGUUAGGUGCAGGGCAGGGUGAACUAAGUUGUCUGCAGGGCAGGCUGAAUGAAUGUUAGCUGCAGGAUAACCCAGGCACUCAAACCCCACUGUCUGGUCCUUUAUCACCUGUUUGCAUCAAGUCUGAACACUCAAUCCCACUCAAGGCUGAACACUCGACCCUCACCCUUCGGGUGCAACAGAAACCCACUUCUGACCCCUGUG
rnacentral:lncRNA from 1 species